rnacentral:lncRNA from 1 species
UCCAUUUGUCAUAUUCAUUAUAUUUUUUAAACUUAUUCUUAUAAUAUAUAGGUUUUCUUAUUUCUGUUGUUUUAGGUAUUAUAUUUUCAUCUUCUUUUUUAUCAAGAGUAUUUAUUUCUGUGUAGGUACUUUCUAAGUUUUCCUCAUUAAUUUCUUUUUGUUUUUCAUUGAUUUCUAAUUUUUUUGUAUUUGUUAAUAUUUCUGUAUAUGUUUCACUAUCUUCGGAAUCAUAAU